AGUGAACGCUGGCGGUAGGCCUAACACAUGCAAGUCGAACGGCAGCACAGUAAGAGCCUGCUCUUACGGGUGGCGAGUGGCGGACGGGUGAGGAAUACAUCGGAAUCUACUUUUUCGCGGGGGAUAACGUAGGGAAACUUACGCUAAUACCGCAUACGACCUACGGGUGAAAGCAGGGGAUCUUCGGACCUUGCGCGAUUGAAUGAGCCGAUGUCGGAUUAGCUAGUUGGCGGGGUAAAGGCCCACCAAGGCGACGAUCCGUAGCUGGUCUGAGAGGAUGAUCAGCCACACUGGAACUGAGACACGGUCCAGACUCCUACGGGAGGCAGCAGUGGGGAAUAUUGGACAAUGGGCGCAAGCCUGAUCCAGCCAUACCGCGUGGGUGAAGAAGGCCUUCGGGUUGUAAAGCCCUUUUGUUGGGAAAGAAAAGCAGCAGGUUAAUACCCCGCUGUUCUGACGGUACCCAAAGAAUAAGCACCGGCUAACUUCGUG
rnacentral:rRNA from 1 species